rnacentral:tRNA from 2 species
GUUGAUGUAGUUGAAAUACAACGGUGGUUCUUCAGCCCACUACUCUUGGUUAAAGUCCAAGCAUGAACU